GACGAACCGUGCGAGCGUUGUUCGGAAUCACUGGGCUUAAAGGGCGCGUAGGCGGGCUGUCAAGUCUGGGGUGAAAUGCUGCGGCUCAACCGUAGAACUGCCUCAGAUACUGACGGCCUCGAGGAAGGUAGGGGCAUGCGGAACUGUAGGUGGAGCGGUGAAAUGCGUUGAUAUCUACAGGAACUCCGGUGGCGAAAGCGGCGCGCUGGACCUUUUCUGACGCUGAGGCGCGAAAGCUAGGGGAGCAAACGGG
rnacentral:rRNA from 1 species